rnacentral:rRNA from 1 species
GUACCAUAACCGACACAGGUGGGUAGGUAGAGUAUACUAAGGGGCGCGAGAUAACUCUCUCUAAGGAACUCGGCAAAAUGACUCCGUAACUUCGGGAGAAGGAGUGCCUUAUUUAUAAGGUUGCAAUAACAAGAUCCAAGCAACUGCUUAUCAAAAACACAGGUCUCCGCUAAGUCGUAAGACGAUGUAUGGGGGCUGACGCCUGCCCAGUGCCAGAAGGUUAAAGAAGUUGGUUAGUGUAUGCGAAGCUGAUGACUGAAGCCCUGGUGAACGGCGGCCGUAACGAUAACGGUCCUAGGGUAGCGAAAUUCCUUGUCGGGUAAGUUCCGACCCGCACGAAAGGCGUAAUGAUUUGGAUACUGUCUCGGAGAGAGGCUCGGUGAAAUAGACUUGUCUGUGAAGAUGCGGACUACCUGCACCAGGACAGAAAGACCCUAUGAAGCUUUACUGUAACUUGAAAUUGGAAUUGGACUUUGCUUGCGCAGUAUAGGUGGGAAGCGUUGAAGAUAUUCUUGCGGGAGUAUUGGAGCUAUCAGUGAGAUACCACUCUUGUAAUGUUAGAUUUCUAACUUUGAACCAUAAUCUGGUCAAAGAACAGUUUCAGGUGGGCAGUUUGACUGGGGCGGUCGCCUCCAAAUGGUAACGGAGGCGUACAAAGGUUUCCUCUGAACGGAUAGAAAUCGUAUCUAGAGUGUAAAGGCAUAAGGAAGCUUGACUGUGAGACCUACAAAUCGAGCAGGGACGAAAGUCGGUCUUAGUGAUCUGACGGUACUGAGUGGAAAGGCCGUCACUCAACGGAUAAAAGUUACUCUAAGGAUAACAGGCUGAUCUCCCCCAAGAGUUCACAUCGACGGGGAGGUUUGGCACCUCGAUGUCGGCUCAUCGCAUCCUGGGGCGGUAGUACGUCCCAAGGGUUGGGCUGUUCGCCCAUGAAAGCGGUACGCGAGCUGGGUUCAGAACGUCGUGAGACAGUUCGGUCCAUAUCCGGUGUAGGCGUUAGAAUAUUGAGAGGAGCCUUCUUUAGUACGAGAGGACCGAGAAGGACACACCGCUGGUGUACCAGUUAUCGUGCCAACGGUAAACGCUGGGUAGCUAUGUGUGGAGUGGAUAACCGCUGAAAGCAUCUAAGUGGGAAGCCCACCUCAAGAUGAGUAUUCUCACAGGGUUAACCUGGUAAGGUCACGGGCAGACCACCCGUUAAUAGGCACUAGGUGGAAGUCUAGUAAUGGAUGGAGCCAAGGUGUACUAACAGACCGAGGGCUUG